ensembl:lncRNA
UGUUGUUUAAUAAACAAACACCAGUCAGGAACUGACAUUAGUCUCGGGGGGUAUAAAGCACAACGCACAGAGGAAGAGGGGGGGGGACAUAUUUAUCUGUUACACAAGGAGGAAGUCCCUACUGAGGGACAGGAAGAACUACGAUCCAUCCAGAUCAGGAUCCAAGUCUACGGUACAAAACCUUAGCAGCAACACGUUAAACAUCGUCAUAGUAACAUCGGGUGGCUAACAAAGUAGUUUCAUUUAGAAAAAAGUCACAGUUUUAUUUUUAAGCAGAAAUUGGUUAAAAAGUUAUAAACGGUUCUAGGAUCAGGUGAUGUAAUCUACACUAUCAACAUGUCUAGGAUCAGGUGGUGAUGUAAUCUACACCAUCAACAUGUCUAGGAUCAGGUGGUGAUGUAAUCUACACCAUCAACAUGUCUAGGAUCAGGUGGUGAUGUAAUCUACACCAUCAACAUGUCUAGGAUCAGGUGGUGUAAUCUACACCAUCAACAUGUCUAGGAUCAGGUGGUGUAAUCUACACCAUCAACAUGUCUAGGAUCAGGUGGUGAUGUAAUCUACACCAUCAACAUGUCUAGGAUCAGGUGGUGUAAUCUACACCAUCAACAUGUCUAGGAUCAGGUGAUAUAAUCUACACCAUCAACAUGUCUAGGAUCAGGUGGUGAUGUAAUCUACACCAUCAACAUGUCUAGGAUCAGGUGAUGUAAUCUACACCAUCAACAUGUCUAGGAUCAGGUGAUGUAAUGAACGUCAGAUAAAUGAACUAUACACUUCUUAUUACUCUUCAUCCUCAUCAUGGCACAAUACAAAGUCUGAGAAAACAUGGCCACAGAAAUACACAACAAUGUCCUCAAUCACAAUGUCACAUUUCUUUGAAGAUUAAAAUGUAACUAAGUCUUCUGGCAAAAAAAUAAUUAAAACACGAUAGUUUUACUCAGUGGUCAAAACAACAUCAAAGACUUCUCUCCAACCCCCCCCCCCAAAAACAAAACAAAAAUUAGGACACGAUAUGUUGUUAGUCAAUCUAGUCAAUCUUUCACUGCCUUUUAAUACAAAAAUAAGAGAGACAAAUAUAAAUUAAUAUAUAUUAAAAGAGUCAAGCAGGUACAUGGGUCAGACAGGUUGUCACAAGAGAGGAGAGGAGGCACUGAGGGGUUUAACCUAAUUACUACCUUAACAAAACUACACAAUCUACGUGUGUGUGUGUGUGUGUGUGUGUGUGUGUGUGUGUUUUGGGUGGAGGUUGUCACAGGAGAGGAGAGGAGACACGGGGCUGUGGGGUUUAACCUAAUUACUACCUUAACAAAACUACACCAUCUACGUGUGUGUGUGUUGUGUGGAUGAAAGGGUUCCCUCCGUCUCCCCCCUGACCUGAGACCAGAACACCUCCCCCCGGUGGUGAGUGUGUAGUACUACGGUUAAUAGGGGGACUCCUACAACACAGGAAACAGGAAGAACACAACAGGAAGUGGUCGUCCGUCAGUGGGGAACCCCGUUCGUCUUCAUGAGUCUUGUUGAGUUUUUAAGUCUUUUUUCUCCGUUUGAUAAUAAAAAUAAGUCAUUUUUUUUGUUGUAUUUUACAAUAUAAUUCAACAUCUCCUCUGAGGCAGUGAGCCCACAGUCCAGCGCUGGCAAUAUUUUUGUUGUUGUAGUUUCUUUGUUUCGUCUUGACUUUUUUGGGGGGGGUUUACAAAAAGAAGAGGGAUGAGGUCAGAGGAGGAGAGGGGAGGGGGAUGAGGUCGGAGGAGGAGAGGGGAGGGGGAUGAG